GAGCUACUAGGGAACCAGAGGGAGAGUUCCAACCUGGGCUCCAAUCUCAGCUGUUUUCCCUUGAAAAGGCAGGUUCCCAGGCUGAUGGGACUGGAGAAUUUGUUAAAUAAGGAAAAGAACUGUGUAUU